UGAAAACGUUGCUAUUGUAAAAGCGUUCUGGCGUCGAACAUGAUGCGUUCAAAUUUACCAUUUCCCCCCGAACGCCAUGUGUUCGAAACAUGCCCGCGUACAUAACAGCGCGUGACGUAUUUAAUGUACCGGAAGUUUGGUUUUUGAUCGUGAUUGAAGAAGCUUCACUGAAGAAAAUUACAGCAAAGCUUGAUUUAAUAGGGUACAAACACAACUACAGUACUGAGAGGUAAUUGUUCGUGCAUACCUCGCCGAGAAUGAAGAGAAAAUUUCGCAGUUCAAGAGAUGACUACUUAUCCUGCACCAUAAAAGUACUUUCAUAUAACUCACAGUUGAUGGAUAACAAGGUUAAAGAGUAGUUAUAACCCAAGGAGAAGAAUGUUCUAAAAAAUGGAAGCUCAAAAGACGAAUGUUCUAAAAAAUGGCAGCUCAAAAUCAGUUGUAGACGACUCAAAUCAUGUUCAAAAGUACCUAAGGUAGCAGUGUUACAUGAACACCGACUCGACUAGUAGCAGCAUAUACACAGGGUAUUUUAUGUUUGAUAUUGACUAUCUGAGUGCUAUGAAAGCUGUGGAUCAUCGAAAAUAUUGGUGACAAACGAGUCAUUGACAGGACAGUGCUUGACUUGAGAAGUUGCAAACGAUG